rnacentral:tRNA from 1 species
GGGCCUAUAGCUCAGCUGGCUAGAGCGCACGCCUGAUAAGCGUGAGGUCGGUGGUUCAAGUCCACCUAGGCCCA